AGGAUUUACUAAAGCAAGUUAGUGAACAGAAAAUGGCCAUCUCAAGGUUUUACUCUGAUGUCCCUCAGCAGGGUGCAGCACUGUUGAAGGCCAUCUGAAUGAAAGCUUGAUAUGCAGCUUCUUUAUGAAAGUGUGUAAAUAUACAGUGUGGUUGCCGUACAUAUGUUGAGGUUCUCAGACAUCAGGCGUCUUUGCCCAGGCCUUCACUAGUGGGCUAUUUUAAAAGUUGGUAAGGAGAAAAACCACAGCAUAUAGCUGAUUGUUUACAAAUGCAAGGAGGGGAAUAACAAUCAAAAAGCUUGUGUUCUUGGACCAGAUGAAUGGAGUGCUCCACAUGCACUCUCAGACAUGUUAUGGCUUCUGUUUCUAUAACUUCACAUGCAGACAUUUGAGUUUUGCCAGAAAGGAAAGGACUAACCUGGGAAUCUGGUGUGUUGAAAAUGCUACAACUAGAGAUGGUCAUCAUGGUAGACAGGGGUUUCUUCAUUGAUGACAUUGUGCCCUGCAAAGUCUACAGGCCAGCUUUCCUUUCUGGCAAACCUCAAAUGUCUGCAUGUGAAGUUAUAGAAACAGAAGCCAUAACAUGUCUGAGAGUGCAUGUGGAGCGCUCCAUUCAUCUAGAACAGCUGAAAAAGAAAAAGAGAUAUUAAGGGUGGUGUGUGUCAGCCUUCAGAAAGAUGCUGAUCAACUAGCUGAACAGGCAGAAAACAAACCGAGCACGCUCAUGGCUCAAAUGAUAACAAAAUUUAAUACUCUUAACUGGAAGAGAUACAGGGACAAAUGCAGUGAACUGACAGAUGUUGAGUCAGAGCUGGAAUCAAAAACUAGUGAGCUAAGGCACAAGCAUUAAUCCUUUUAUGUGUGAAAAAAAAAUGCUGUAGCAUGUUCAAUAACAUGUAACUUUCCAUGCAACUAUGUAUUUGCUAUGUUCCAGGCAUACAUUUUUUUGUUGUUUAUCUCAGGGUACAUUAUAAUACAUUGAAUUCUCAGAGGAUUUUUUUAUGUACAUAUAGAUCCGUGGAUUCUCAUGUGUGUUUGUUUAUGGCAUUAAAAAGGUUAAAAAUGGCAUUAAAAUGGCAUUAAAAAGCAUUAAAUUUGUUUUGCUGAUUUCUGCAGAAACCCUGGAUAAAGAAAGUCACUCAUCCUGCCGGAAAGAUUACACACGAGUGUAAAGGCACAGUUGAAAGGAACACAAGGAAAUCAUGGAUGGGUUGGAUGAUUUUACAGUAUCGAUUCUAAAUGCUGACAAGGAUAGUCGAGUAACGCAGGCCAGGCAUUACAAGACUCUGCAGGCAAUGUAUAAGAAGCCAAAGCCCAACCAAGACGCUGUCCGGCAAAUCCUUGACCUUGAGUUUCAAUCAAGACGAGCCUUCAUUGACAGUGAUGUUCUGAAAGAAGAGGAAAGAGCCAGAAAGAUUCUCGAGGCAUACCCAUGUUUCAAGGAGCUUCACAAUGUAAGUGGCUUAUUUUUUAUUGUUUCUUCCCCAUAAAGCAAGCAUAUACUUUUUUGUUUCUUUCACUAUAGGUGAUGGACGAGCUGAGGCGCAUCCUGGAUAAAGGCAACUGCACAUUCCUGACAGAAUUAAAGAAGCAAUGGGAUGACUUCUGCUCCACGGUUCAGUUUUACGGUGUUUGGAAGAAGGUGUUGAAGCCACCCAUGAACCUGGAUGAAGUGAAACACAACAUAGCCCUGUUCAGGGCACUCCCCAUGCUCUUCCCAUCACCAGCUGUACCCCCCAAGAAGCUGGGACAUGCCAGUGAGGCAUUAAUUCAUGUC